rnacentral:rRNA from 1 species
UACGUAGGGGGCAAGCGUUAUCCGGAAUUACUGGGUGUAAAGGGAGCGUAGACGGUAAUGUAAGUCUGGAGUGAAAGGCGGGGGCCCAACCCCCGGACUGCUCUGGAAACUAUGUUACUAGAGUGCAGGAGAGGUAAGCGGAAUUCCUAGUGUAGCGGUGAAAUGCGUAGAUAUUAGGAGGAACACCAGUGGCGAAGGCGGCUUGCUGGACUGUAACUGACGUUGAGGCUCGAAAGCGUGGGGAGCAAACAGG